rnacentral:misc_RNA from 1 species
AAACUCAACAGUGGCAACUAAACAUGAGGGUUGUUAUAUAACAUCUGUCUGUAACUAUUACAGACACUAGCUGUUGACAUCAUCAACACCAUUGUCUAAUAUUACUAAACAGCAAGGAACUAGUCAAGCAUCAUAAUUUGUACAAAAGAACUAAUAGCAAAGUAAUAAGAGCAGGAACAAGAAUAGUUUCAAGUAAAGAAAUAACAUAGCUGCAGGAGAAAAUCCCAUAUAUAUUUACCUA